rnacentral:rRNA from 1 species
UAAGGAAUAUUGCGCAAUGGGCGAAAGCCUGACGCAGCGACGCCGCGUGGGGGAUGAAGGUCUUCGGAUCGUAAACCCCUUUCGGCAGGGAAGAUGGAACGGGUAACCGUUCGGACGGUACCUGCAGAAGCAGCCACGGCUAACUUCGUGCCAGCAGCCGCGGUAAUACGAAGGUGGCAAGCGUUGUUCGGAUUUACUGGGCGUACAGGGAGCGUAGGCGGUUGGGUAAGCCCUCCGUGAAAUCUCCGGGCCUAACCCGGAAAGUGCGGAGGGGACUGCUCGGCUAGAGGAUGGGAGAGGAGCGCGGAAUUCCCGGUGUAGCGGUGAAAUGCGUAGAGAUCGGGAGGAAGGCCGGUGGCGAAGGCGGCGCUCUGGAACAGUAUCUGACGCUGAGGCUCGAAAGCGUGGGGAGCAAACAGGAUUAGAUACCCCCGUAGUCCCUGAGCGGGCUGGCAAGGCGCAU